rnacentral:rRNA from 1 species
GGUUACACGUUCUACGAGUAGUUAGUUCGUACUCCGUACGGCACGAGACGACGCUGGCGGCGUGCUUAACACAUGCAAGUCGAACGGAGUGCCUCGGAAAGAGAUUUCGGUCAAUGGAAGAGGGUUACUUAGUGGCGGACGGGUGAGUAACGCGUGAGGAACCUGCCUUUCAGAGGGGGACAACAGCUGGAAACGGCUGCUAAUACCGCAUAACAUAUAGGUAUCGCAUGGUAUUUAUAUCAAAGAUUUAUCGCUGAAAGAUGGCCUCGCGUCUGAUUAGCUAGUUGGUAGGGUAACGGCCUACCAAGGCGACGAUCAGUAGCCGGACUGAGAGGUUGGCCGGCCACAUUGGGACUGAGAUACGGCCCAGACUCCUACGGGAGGCAGCAGUGGGGGAAUAUUGGGCAAUGGGCGCAAGCCUGACCCAGCAACGCCGCGUGAAGGAAGAAGGCUUUCGGGUUGUAAACUUCUUUUAAGAGGGAAGAGUAGAAGACGGUACCUCUUGAAUAAGCCACGGCUAACUACGUG